rnacentral:misc_RNA from 1 species
UCCGGCUUUCACCGGCUGUCUCUUUAGAGUGCCCAGCUUUACCUGCUGGCAACUAAAAAUAAGGGUUGCGCUCGUUGCGGGACUGAACCCAACAUCUCACGACACGAGCUGACGACAACCAUGCACCACCUGUCUCCUCUGUCCCGAAGGUCAUAGCUAUCUCUAACUACUUCAGAGGGAUGUCAAGCCCUGGUAAGGUUCUUCGCGUUGCUUCGAAUUAAACCACAUGCUCCACCGCUUGUGCGGGCCCCCGUCAAUUCCUUUGAGUUUCAGCCUUGCGGCCGUACUCCCCAGGCGGAGUGCUUAUUGGGUUUCCUUCGGCACUGAGGGGCGGUCCCCCCAACACCUAGCACUCAUCGUUUACGGCGUGGACUAC